CAGCAUCUCCAUGUAUGUGUGAGGAUGGUCAUCUGGCAGUUCUCCAAAGCAAUGCAACAGCAUCCUAAAAUGAGCACAGCUGAAGAGGCUGUCAGCAGCUGUGAGCAGUCCAGCUGACAAUUAAUCACAAGAAAAGAUCAGGCAUAAUAAGGAUACAGUCAAUGAUAUGUGGACAUGCAUCAAAGCUUCGCUCUUGCUGGUGACAUCAUAGCCUUCCAAUGACCAUGACAUCCACCACCUCCCCCUUGUGAAGCUCCACAUACUGCUCUGUCUUUGGAGGUAGCAUCAACAGUCCAUUGGCACUGCGCAUACUCAUCAGACGACUGCUCAUCUGAUUCCCUACAGGAGACAGAGAACAAUUAAGUCUUCAGUUAGUUCCAAAUGCUGCAACGCAUCACACAACAAACAAAAGCUGUUAUUGCGAAGACAUUUAUGUGGCUAACUUUUUCAUAGAGCUGAGAUCUUCCUGUUCCAAGGUGAAUGGAAACAGAGAGCUCUGUGGAGAAUUAGUCAGCUUCUCAUCGGACUAGCUCUCAAAAUCAUCACUCCCUUUACUGAUUGCUUUCCUAUCCAGCCUUCCACAUUAUCUGUACAUGUAUCUUGUCCUAGUAAAUUGCU